CACGUAGGGGGCGAGCGUUGUCCGGAUUUAUUGGGCGUAAAGAGCUCGUAGGCGGCUCAGUAAGUCAGGUGUGAAAACUCCAGGCUCAACCUGGAGACGCCACUUGAUACUGCUGUGGCUAGAGUCCGGUAGGGGAGCAUGGAAUUCCUGGUGUAGCGGUGAAAUGCGUAGAUAUUUGGAGGAACACCAGUGGCGAAAGCGGCUUUCUGGGACAUUCCUGACGCUGAGGUUCGAAAGCUCGGGGAGCAAACAGG
rnacentral:rRNA from 1 species